AAAGGCCAUCCUCGACGUUCACGUAAUCGGAUGGGUUUUGUUUUGCGACAGUCGGUAGCGCGCACGUGACUUUGUGACAACGCCAGGCUCCGCUUUGCGGAUAAUGUCGGAAAGUGCGGCGCGAGGGGACAUGCCGACUAAGAGACAGAAAUUGAGCGAUGAGAACAGUAACCCGGACGUUUCCGGGGAUGAAAAUGAUGAUGCUGCCAGUAUAGAGAGUGGUACAAACACUGAGAGACCAGAUACCCCUACAAACACACCGAAUGUUCCUGGAAGGAAGAGCUGGGGGAAGGGCAAGUGGAAAUCCAAGAAAUGCAAAUAUUCCUUUAAAUGUGUCAACAGUCUUAAGGAGGACCAUGGUCAACCACUUUUUGGAGUGCAGUUCAACUGGCAUAGUAAGGAAGGCGAUCCUUUGGUAUUUGCCACAGUCGGUAGCAAUCGGGUCACACUUUAUGAAUGCCAUUCGCAAGGGGAAAUACGGUUAUUACAGUCAUAUGUAGAUGCUGAUACAGAUGAAAACUUCUAUACGUGUGCAUGGACCUAUGACAGUAAUACAAGCCAUCCUCUGUUGGCUGUGGCAGGAUCCAGGGGCAUCAUCCGAAUUAUUAAUCCUAUCUCCAUGCAGUGCAUUAAGCACUAUGUUGGACAUGGAAAUGCAAUCAACGAACUGAAAUUUCAUCCCAGAGAACCAAAUCUUCUGCUUUCUGUAAGCAAAGAUCAUGCUUUAAGAUUUUGGAACAUACAAACAGAUACUUUAGUGGCAAUAUUUGGAGGUGUGGAAGGACAUCGAGAUGAGGUGCUGAGUGCAGAUUUUGAUCUUCUUGGAGAAAAAAUAAUGUCUUGUGGGAUGGAUCAUUCCCUUAAAUUGUGGCGAAUCAACUCCGAAAGGAUGCUAAAAGCUAUUAAGGCAUCAAAUGAAUAUAACCCAAGCAAAACUAACAGGCCAUUUGUGUCUCAGAAAAUACAUUUUCCAGAUUUCUCCACAAGAGACAUACAUAGGAAUUAUGUGGACUGUGUGCGCUGGCUUGGAGAUUUAAUAUUGUCUAAGUCUUGUGAAAAUGCCAUUGUAUGCUGGAAGCCUAGCAAAAUGGAGGACGACAUUGAUAGAAUAAAGCCAAAUGAAUCAAAUGUGACCAUACUGGGGAGAUUCGAUUAUAGUCAGUGUGAUAUCUGGUAUAUGAGAUUUUCAAUGGAUUUCUGGCAGAAGAUGCUGGCUUUAGGUAAUCAAGUUGGAAAGCUCUACGUAUGGGACCUUGAAGUGGAGGAUCCUCAUAAGGCAAAAUGUACAACACUGGCUUAUCCAAAAUGCACUGCGGCCAUACGACAAACCAGUUUUAGCAGAGAUAGCAGUAUUCUAAUCGCCGUAUGUGAUGAUGCAACCAUCUGGCGCUGGGACCGACUUCGAUAAACAAUAUUAAUCAUGUUCCAAAUUUAAUUAAACUCCAUCUGCCAUCUCUCUGCCCAAGUCACCAACUGAUCUAUAUCCAGCUGUAUCCUUUUACGGUCCUCAUCGCUAUCCACAAUUCCACCAACCUUUGUGUCAUCGGCAAACUUACUAAUAAGACCAGUUACAUUUGCUUCAACAUCAUUUAUAUAAAUUACAAACAGUAAAGGUCCCAACUCUGAUCCCUGAGGAAUGCUACUGGACACAGCCCUCCAUUCAGAAAUGUACCCUUCUACUGCUACCCUGUUAUUCUCUGACCUUGCCGGUUUUUUUUUAAUCCAUCUGGCAAGCUCACCCCAGACUUGUGUGACUUUACCUUCUGUGUCAGUCUGCCUUGAGGGACCUUGUCAAAGGCCAUAAUGAAGUUUAAGUAGACAACAUCUCUACCCUUGUUGAUCAUCUUCAUCACUUCUUCAAAAAAAAAACUCCAGAGUUGGUGAGACAUGACCUCCCCUUCAAAAAACCCACUGCAGGUUCAAUACCCAUUCCAGGAACUUAAGAACAUAACAUAAAUUUUGUCUGACACUCCAGUGUGGUACUGAGGGAGUGCAGCACUGUUGGAGGUGCUGUCUUUCAGAUGAGAUAUUGGAUCAAGAUGCUGUUUGCCACUUCUGGUAAAUCUACAUGUUUCCAUUGCACCAUUCGUUCAAGACCAGGGGAGAUAUCCUUCCUGUUAUGGCUAUAAUUUAUUGCUCAACUAACAUCACAAACAUCAAUUAUCAAGUCAUUACUAUUUGCUGAGCCCAAAUUGAUGUCAUGUUUCCUACAUUGUGGCUGUACAGGGCUUUGUACUACGUUGAGGCCAUGGAAUGUGCUAUAUGAAACUGUAAGAAAUAGGGGGUCUAGGCUAUUCGUACCAUAGAGGCAAUUCUGACAUUGAAUCAAGUUGUGGAUUUGUGGCUGAUCUGAUCGUGGUUUCAACAAUAUUUUUCGUGCAAGUCUUCACUCGCUUGCCAAUCAAAAAUUGGUUAAACUCAAUCUUCAAUAUAUUCAAUGAAACAUCCUCCACUGCUCUAGAAUUUAACAUGUGGACAUCACCCAAACCGUAACCCUAAAAUAUGGAACAGAAAAAUGGAAAUUAGGACUAGGGUGAAGAAUUCCUUUUCCCUCUGCCAGACUGAGC